CAAUAGCGUAUAUUAACGUUGUUGCAGUUAAAGAGCUCGUAGUUGGAUUUCUGGAGGGAGCGUCGGCCCGUAUUUACGAGUGCGUGACGUCUCUGUCCAUCCUUGCGGGAAGGCACGGCAUUGAUUUGUUGUGUCGGAUCGCAUCAUUUACUGUGAAAAAAUUAGAGUGUUCAAAGCAGGCUUUCGCUUGAAUACAUUAGCAUGGAAUAAUAAGAUAGGACUUUGGUGCUAUUUUGUUGGUUGAGCCUAAAGUAAUGAUUAAUAGGGAUAGUUGGGGGCACCUGUAUUGCGUUGUCAGAGGUGAAAUUCUUGGAUUUACGCAAGACAAACAGCUGCGAAAGCGUCUGCCAAGGAUGUUUUCAUUA
rnacentral:rRNA from 1 species